rnacentral:rRNA from 1 species
UACGUAGGGUGCAGGCGUUAAUCGGAAUUACUGGGCGUAAAGCGUGCGCAGGCGGCUUCUCAAGACAGAUGUGAAAUCCCCGGGCUCAACCUGGGAACUGCAUUUGUGACUGCAUAGCUAGAGUACGGUAGAGGGGGAUGGAAUUCCGCGUGUAGCAGUGAAAUGCGUAGAUAUCGGGAGGAACACCUGAGGCGAAGGCGGGCUACUGGGCUGAUACUGACGCUGAGGCGCGAAAGCUAGGGGAGCAAACGGG